AGGACGACGCUGGCGGCGUGCCUAACACAUGCAAGUCGAGCGGAGUUGACAAGAGGAAGUUUCGGAUGGAAUUUGUAAUUAGCGGCGGACGGGUGAGUAACGCGUGAGCGACCAACCUUGCACAGGGGGAUAACGGACCGAAAGGUUCACUAAUACCGCAUGAGACCACGGUGUUGCAUGACACAGGGGUCAAAGGAGCAAUCCGGUGCAAGACGGGCUCGCGUCCGAUUAGGUAGUUGAGGGGUAACGGCCCACCAAGCCUAUGAUCGGUAGCCGACCUGAGAGGGUGAUCGGCCACAUUGGAACUGAGAUACGGUCCAAACUCCUACGGGAGGCAGCAGUGGGGAAUAUUGGGCCAAUGGGGGAAACCCUGACCCAGCAACGCCGCGUGAAGGAAGAAGGUUUUCGGAUUGUAAACUUCUGUCCUUGGUGAAGAGAAGAAGACGGUAGCCAAGGAGGAAGCCCCGGCUAACUACGUGCCAGCCGCCGC
rnacentral:rRNA from 1 species